AUUGAACGCUGGCGGCCGGCCUAACACAUGCAAGUCGAACGAGUGGCGGACGGGUGAGUAAUGUCUGGGAAACUGCCCGAUGGAGGGGGAUAACUACUGGAAACGGUAGCUAAUACCGCAUACCCUCGGAUGUGCCCAGAUGGGAUUAGCUAGUAGUUGGGGUAACGGCUCACAAAGGCGACGAUCCCUAGCUGGUCUUAGAGGAUGACCAGCCACACUGGAACGGAGACACGGUCCAGACUCCUACGGGAGGCAGCAGUGGGGAAUAUUGCACAAUGGGCGCAAGCCUGAUGCAGCCAUGCCGAGUGUAGGAAGAAGGCCUUCGGGUUGUAAAGGACUUUCAGCGAGGAGGCGUUAAUCGCAGAAGAAGCACCGGCUAACUACGUGCCAGCAGCCGCGGUAAUUC
rnacentral:rRNA from 1 species